rnacentral:lncRNA from 1 species
AUCAAGGAAAAGGAAGAAAAUGGAUCCAUGAAAAGGAGGCUCUAACUCAAGAGGAACACAAAGGGAAUCCCCAACAUGCUGAAGAAAAAAAAAAUCCAGGAUGACCAUUCUGUUGCAGCCCAGAAUGGAGCAGAUUAUUAAAAGAUAACUGGUGCUGUCUUCCCAGCUUCAGACUCCGUCUCAAGAAUAAGGAAGCAGAGAAGUUACCGUCAGCCAAGUCUCAACUAAACAUGGACCCAACUUCAUACAAGCAAAUGGCAUUCCACAUUCACCAAGCACCCUCCUUGGGCUAGGCACUGCAUCAUAUGGGAGGCGAGAGAAAGGGACAGCAGCUUGGCCCAAGCUGGCCACGUGGCGCAAUGCUGAAGGCUCUUCCCUUCCUCCAUCCUUCCUGGUUUCCCACACUGAUAGGGAGCAAAAUUCGUCUCUCCAGUUCUCCCGUUUCUUCCUCCCUCCUCCUCACCCUCCUCGUUAGUUAGGAGCUGCGACGCCUGGCUCUGGGGAGGUGCUGGCACUGAGUGUUUUACAGCUCUUUAAUUCUGCCUUAUUAUCCUCUGUUCCUACAACCAAGGUCUUUGACUGCUGCUUUCAUUGUGUUGUCAGGUUUCUCUUUGAUGCCUAAAUUAAUACUAAUGGGAAGCCCUCUCAGCUGUUUGCUUACUUUUCCUUCUGCUCAGUUUCUCCCAGUUGAAUAUUCCCCAGUCCGUGCUGUGCACUGAUCUGUCAGCCCUUUCUCGGAUCCACUUUAAAAGAAGCCUGAGUAUCUUACACACGGUUAGCCACUCUCGAGCGGGGUAAUUCAGACGGUGAGUAGGGAAGAAGAUUGUAUGGAAAUCUGCCUGUUUUCCCAUCCGGUCGCCGCCCGCUUGAAACUGCAGAGCAUUGGCUCAGCUUCUUCGUCACUUGGGCGGAAUGAUUCUGCCCCACACACUUGUUAGUGUUUCUUAUUCGACGAUUCUUCUAGGGGCCAAUCCCUGCCAUUUGCGGGGCUCACGAAAGGCUCUCCUGCCCCCACUUUCUUUCAUGGCCUGUUAAUAUCUAAUAUUUCAGCUCUUCAGAAGUUGUUCCUAUAGGUUUUUUCAGGGUCGAACCAAAGGAAGAAUCACAAACAACUCUGAGAGGUUUUGCAUACUAAAGCAAUGAUUAUUAGUACCCAUUUGAACUGGGGACAGAUAGCUGACAGCAAGACUGAGACAGAGAGUUCUCAGGCUAGGGUGAGUGGGUGAGGAACCACAUACCUCUUCCCAACUUUGCCUAGGAGCAGCUGUGAUUUUAAGGAAAAAGAAAUGUUAGCCACCUUCCCCUCCCAAGAUCAUUUAUCCUGGUUUCUUUCCCACCCUAAGCAGCCAAUAUUCAACAAAUAUUUAUCAAGAGCAUAGGCCAGGUGGGGUGGCUCACGCCUGUAAUCCCAGCACUUUGGGAGGCCGAGGCGGGCGGAUCACCUGAGGUCGGGAGUUGGAGACCAGCCUGACCAACAUGGUCUACUAAAAAUACAAAAUUAGCUGGGCGUGGUGGUGCAUGCCUGUAAUCCCAGCUACUCAAGAGGCUGAGGCAGGAGAAUGGCUUGAACCCAGGAGGCAGAAGUUGCAGUGAGCCAAGAUGGUGCCAUUGCACUCCAGCCUGGGCAACAAGAGUGAAACUCCAUCUAAACAAACAAAAACAAAACAAAAUAAAAAAGCCUAAAGUUCUGGCCAGAGUACAAACAGAAAGAAGUAGAACAUAAAGAUAAAAGUCAAUUGGUCACCAAUCUUAAAUACCUUCUAGGUUCAGAAUACAAGCCACCACAGAGACCUACAAAGAACACAAACAUACAGGUCUUGUCUUUAAAAACUUAUAGUUUAGGGCCAGGCAUGGUGACUCACACCUGUAGUCCCAGUACUUUGGGAGGCUAAGGUAGGAGGAUCGCUUGAGCCCAGGAGUUCAAGACCAGCCUGGGCAACAUAGUGAGAUCCUGUCUCUACCAAAAAUUAAAACAUUAGCUGGGCAUAGUUGCAUGUACCUGCAGUCCCAACUACUUGGGAGGCUGAGGCAGGAAGAUUUCUUGAGCCUAGAAGUUCAAGGCUACAGUGAGCCAUGACUAUACCACUACACUCUAGCCUGGGUGACAGAGUGAGACCCUGUCUCUCAAAAAAAAACUUACAAUCUAAGGUACAAAGAGACACACACAUAGUUGGGGGGGGCGGGAUUUGCAAGCAAUACCUUCAUACGUUAUACGUAUACACCCAUAUAUAGCAAUACAAAUUUUAUAUAUCUAUUCUCCCCAUAUGUGUCUCUUCAACCCUUAGACUAUAAAAUCUUAUACAUAUACAUACACAUAAUGCUCAAUUCAUAGAAACAAGUAAAGCUGCUCCUCAACUUACAAUGCAGUUACAUCCUGAUAAACCCAUCAUAGGUUGAAAAUCUCAUAAGUCAAAAGUGCUUUUUCAAUUUAUAUUUUCAAUUUACAAUGGAUUUAUCCAGACGUAGCCCCAUCAUUAAGCCAAGAUUGCAUAUGGCUUUUGCACCACUGCAAAGUUGAAAAAUUGUAAGUUGAACCAUGGUAAGUCAAGGACCAUGUGUACAAAUUAAUAACCUCUCAUUGCUGAACAGGCAAAGUCUGAAUCCCAUGGGCUAGAGGAGCUACCCACUACGCCAUUCCCCUCUUAGUUUUCUUUAAUAGCCUCAACUCAGGAAAUUUUUCUCCUUUUCUUCGUUUUGUUAUUGCUUCUCCUCCAUCUCUUCCAUUGUUUCCUCUUAUACUCCUCACAGUCUCAUAUUAGCCAUCCAGGAUUUAUUCACUAAUGCUUUUUUCUUUUCCCCACUAUUUUCCUCCCUUUGGUUGGUUGGUUGACUUUUUCUUUUUCCUUUAAGAGUAUUUUUUUCUACUUGGUCUUCCAAAUUAUUAACUUGAAUUUCUCAAAUCAUAGCCUUUAAUUGCAAAGUCUUCUUUGAACUGUCCUUGAAUUCCCUUAAGUCACCUUAUUUUCCUUAAUUAAAGUUGACAAAUAUCUCCCAGGCUGCUCCACUUUAUUCAGAUUGUUCUCUUUGAUCUUCACUUACUUGGCUGAAGGGUGUUCUUGUAUGUGUUGUUAUUGUUACUUGCCUGCUUUUAGGGGCCUCACCCAGUUGUUAGAAUCGCCAUGGAGCCCAAGUUUUUAAUUGCUCUGAGCUGCCUGCCAGCCCCCCAACUGCUGGGCUCAGGACAGACAACAAGUUUAGAGCUGGGAAUGGAGGGGGAGUGGGAUGGAGUCAGGUUGCCAUCUGCCUCAAAUCCCUGAGAAACCUUUGGGAAUUGAGCAUUUAAAUCACACUCCACUGUAUUUUCAAGAAUCCCACAUUUAGAGUCAAUGACCUGGAUUCCAGUGUGGUGUCUUAUUCACCAUCUGAGUGAUCUUGAGCACGUAUAAUGUGAGGUUCCUCUUCCUCGAGCAAAAAUUGAGGAUUUGCAAUAUUGCCCUCCAUGCCUCCCCAGGAUUUGUUGUGAGGAUCAAGUAAAACGAUACCUCAGUGCCAAACACUGGUGUGUUUAUGGUGGCUAUGGUUCCUAAUCCUAGCUUCUAUUCUUUCUUUGGCUAAAGUAAUAGAAAUGGAAAAAGAAUGCACAUGAAAAAAAAAUUGUGAAAUAUAUACAGUUGCUAGAGCCCAACAGAGAAAUGCCUACAAACAGAACAAUUCUAGAAGAUUUUCAAGAAAACUAUACAUUUAUUGUUUAACCCAGACUACAGAUAGGGAGAAGGAAGAAGGGCCACUGCAAACACACACCAGUGCCUGCUCCCUGGCUAACUACCAAGCAGGAGUGGAGAGAGCAAGAGAGGAAGAGGAGGUAGGGGAGAGGAGAGGAAGUGAUUAAGCACAGCAGUUUGAGAUCAGAGAGACAUGCUGGAGACCCCCUUCACCAGUCUCCAAUGACAAAAUGAAAACUUUAGUCAAAAUCAGUUUAACAAAGUGUAUUUGUUAAAUUUUAUUUGAUCAAAGAGCGAUUCACGAAGAGGCAGCACUCAGGACCAGAAGAGGUUCAGAGAACUCUACUCCAAACUGUGGGCAUUGAGUACUCACAGGCAGGAAAAGGCUGAAGAGAGCAGAAACAAAGAACACCAAGUGGAUCUGUCAUUUCAAAGUUACUUUCCUGAAACACACAGAUACAUAAGAAAAUGGCUUAAAUGAAAAAACAGACCACUCCAAGGGAGGAAAAGGAUGGAGGUGACACUGUGACUUGUGUCUUCAUAAGAAAAGGAAGAGAUACCAGGAUCACAGGCACACAGAAGAAAGGCUAUGUGAUGACAUAGCGAGAAGGUGGUCUUCUGCAAGCCAAGAAGAGAGCCCUCACCAGAAAUCAACCCUGCCAGCACCUUGAUCUUAGCCUUUUAGGCUCUAGGAUUGUGAGAAAAGAAAUUUCAGUUGUUUAAGCCACCCAGUACGUGGCAUUCUGUUAUGGUAUCCCCAGCAGAUUCAUACAGACCCCUACCAUGACCUGAACCCCCUCCUCAUCUCUGUUGUUGAAAGUGAAAACAUGAGUAUACAUAUCUAUGGAACAUGGAGGGGAAGCCAUGAAAACAAUCAAUACUUCCAGCAAAAUGGAAAGUGUUUAAAAUCAUUCACAUUAGCAAAAAGGGAAAAAGGUACUGCAGGGUCUUCCAAUUUUUGGGUAAAGAAAAAAUUAGUCCCACUGAGUUUAUCAGCAUUUAUUUUUUAAAUUACUUAAAAUAACAAGUGAAAAAGUUUAUCUUGUCAUUCCAUGGCAAAAAAAUAAAUAAAUUUUUGCAUUACAGUUCCUGUUGUAUUUUUAGUUAGGAGGUAGAAUCUUGGGAAUGAUGUUUUGAUUUUUCCAAGUGUUCAUUUCAUUCAAAGCAAAUUAAUCAGAGAAUCACAACCGGUAUAAAUCCAUCAUCACAAGUGGCCCUGAUCUCAGAACACUACUGUGCUGAAUCCUGAGAUAAAUCUUUAUGUCAGAAAUCCUAUUAUUCAGAAGUACAAUAAAAAUAACAAUCGGAGAUGACAUCAGAACAGGGAGAACAUUGCAUUUUUCUUCUUUGCGUGUCAGAAGAAGUUAACUUCCGCUCAUCACCAGCUGAAAUGAUCGUACAGGAUCCUGCAAAAUAUCUGGGUAGCUCCAACAUAAAUAAUCUUCUGUCCUCUGGGGAAAAUUCUUUUUUCACUCUAUGGCUUCAGAAAAACUGUUGGCAUAGGUACCCAAACACCUUCUGGAGAUGGCAUGGAAAUAUCAUUCAGUGAGUUGAGAAGAGAUAAGGACGUGUUUUUACACUUGUGGAUAAGUAGACACUGCUUGGAGAAUUACGAUCACUCUUGUCAACACGUCCUUUCUCAACUCUUAGUCUGUGGCUUAUUUAAAGACAUUAAAGGGAGUAUUGGUUACUGUGGGGGGGGUGCAAUUAGGUAGAAGAAAUUGGCAAAAGUGCAAUACAGAUAAAAUUGAAAAGAUGAGGCAAGGCAAGAGGAAACAUCUGGAGCACCUGGCAGGGGUCAUUUUAGGAUUCUCGCCUGAAGUGGCUCAUUAUUGACUCUUCAUUGUUAGCCUAUAAUCUGGUUUUUACUGCCAUUGCAGAUUUCUCUAAAAACAAAUAGGAUAAAAGCAAACAUUACCAUUUGCUUUUAAGGAUCACAAGAUGUCCUCUCAACUCUCACAUGCAGAUCCUAUUUCAAUAAUUUCACAACUAAUUGGAGUUUUUGCCAUGACUGCUCCUCAAAACACCACUUAACUUGAAGAACACAUCACAGAGAAACUAUAGUCAGAAUCUGCCUGAGUCACUCGUGCCUGAUCACAAGUCGAAGAGAAAGCCCUGCAACUGUGUUUCUUGGGUCUGACUAGAAGCUACGUGAUGUGGGCUCACAGCAACACUCUGACAGCUAAUAGAAGGGAGGACAUGGGAGAAGAAGAUCAUGGGGAAGAAGAUGGCUCCACAGGCUUUUCUCCAUGGAUUUUAGAAACACCCUCUAAAGCUCCUCCUUUGAGAACUGUUAGAAGCCUGGAAGAUGAGGGAAAGGUGAGAAAACAUAUAAAGACACAGAAAAAAAUUGCAAAUCAGAAUGCAGUCCAUUUGAACAAGAGAAUCCUAAGAAAGAACAAAGUGGGGGAUGGUGAAGAAGAAAAGAGGAAAGGUCUAGAAGGGAAUUUGGGACAGAGCCUGCCCUGGAAAGACUGAUCAGCAGCUUCUUGGGGGAGACACGUGGAUGACAUAAGUAACACAGAUCAAGUUAACUGUGGUUUUCCAGAGGACAACACCAUUGACGUCAAGGGCCAGCCAGUUUUAAAGGCAGCAUCAGAAGAUGUCGUGGUUCUUGGCUGAUAAACUACACUUGCUCAUUGGAAAUAGAGGAAUAGUGCAGGGAGGAGGCUGCUGACAUAGCAGACUGCAUUUCCUUGGGCUUCAGCUCCUUGAUGCUUUUUGGUGGUCAAGAUUGAGGGCUUACCUUUGAGAAGCAGCUGCGGUUGCUACCCAGGUGAACCAAGAACGAGGGAUCGGGUCCACUGCUGUCUCCCAGAAGCUCAGACAUGCCUGGAGCACAGAAAUAGUGGUAAAUGUUUUGAUAUAUGAUGGAGCAACUCAAGGAUUCCACAUCAUUAAUUUGGGAAGACUGAAAAAUAACUUCCGUGUUAUUUUAGCUGAACCAACCAACCAGAAACCCCCACGGCCCUAGCUCAACUGACCCAUGCAUAUAUACCCAUGUACUCUCAUGUAUAUCUACACAAUCAUCAAUAUGAGAAAAGGGCAAAGUAAGAGCCUCUGGACUUUUCCAGAUUGUUCUGCUGCCCCUUUGCAGAAGAUAUAAGAUGACAACAAUUAUUUUGGGGGUAUUGAGAUUCUGAACAUCUAUUUCAUUUCCAACAACAAGUCAAUGUCUUUGCUGAGUGCUAUUCUCUCGAUGGCCUCACUUCUACUAACCCUUGUGUCUGCUGUGAUGCAGACACCCCUCUGCAAACCCAACAGUGAAAACAUAUGGCACUGUGGGUAUUGAGCUGGACAGGACUUAAUUCCUUUUCCAUUCCCUUAGCUAGCACCGGUGCAUUUACUCCCUGAUAGAGUGCUCUAGAAGAUUAGCAACGGCAUUCAUUUUCCGCUAACUGCACACAAACACUGUGAGCCGACUCGGGCUUACUGAUGCCUCAGACAAUGCUGUUUUCCAAGUUUGCUUUUCAUUCUUCUAUGUCUUUUCUUGUGCCAUUUGACCCAGUAUUUCAACUCCGUAGAAAACUAACUUUGGGAUUCUUUUCGUUUAUAUUCAGAUUCUCUUGUCUCCCAUUUUGGGCAGAAUCUUACUAAUAAAUGCUUAAACAGCAACUCCACAAUUAUGAGUGGGUUUUCAUUACCAGACUAAACACCAACUAACUAGUUAUAUAAGUAGUCCUUGACUGGCUUAAUAAAAAUGUAUUUUACUGUUAAGAACAAAUAAUAGAAGGGAAAAUCUUUGUGACAGAGCCUUAAUGCCAAUGAGAAAGGGUUAAGGAUAUUAUAUUUUUGAGUGCAUCAGUAACUUUUUGAGAACAGCAUCCUAAAGGAUGAUGAUCACCUUUUCUACAAAUUAUCGUUCCGUCCUAUUUUCUGGAAAAAAAUCCUGAGAUGGGUGGAUCAUAAGUCUCACUUCAAAUGGCCUCUGAUGUGAUUGUUUUUAAGAAAGAACACAGAUGUGUAUAUAGGCUUGAUGUCCC